rnacentral:tRNA from 1 species
GUGGUUAGCUCAAACGGGUAGAGCACCAGACUCAUAAUCUGGCUGUUACGGGUUCGACUCCUGUACCACACC